rnacentral:lncRNA from 1 species
GUUCUGUACCUCUGCAAAGAUUUGUAUAUUCUUCCAUUGGUGGGUGAGGGGGCAGGAGGAAAUUCUCUGGGUAGGCUUACAAAAACAAGAUUUUUAAGCGCUUCUGAUGAUUCUGAGCUACAUUUCUGGACUGGAAUUUGAGUGUUUACGUCGCUGUUUCUUGGAUAAUUAAAGAGGUAUGUGUCUGUUUCAGAGAAUCUGCUCUCUUCUACCUUGCUUUAUUUGGGUGGUGUGACCUUGGCUCUUCUGUAUAUUCAUCCUGCCUGUCACUUUUCAGAACCGAGUAAGGCAGCACCAGUAAUAGUCACUUUGGACACAGAAUAUUUAAAAGUUUUGUGUUUUAUUUUAAAUUGGAGGCUCAAAUAUCAUUGUUUAUUUUCAGGGCAGCAAAGGACCAUAAGCAAUUCUCCAAUGGUGAAGAUCGACCCCAGUCAUGUAAAAACACAACAAGUCCUCCCAUUCUGACAGGGCCAUCAAUUACAAAGACAUGACUUGUUAACAUCAGAGAUGGGCACAUGACCAACUGACCAACCAGAAAACCUCAUCCCCUGGGAGAUGGAGGCAACACAUUUCACUUUUGCUUAAGAAGGAUCUUGCAGAAAGUGAAGAAGAGCAGGAAUAGAGAAGACAUUUGAAUGACGACUGAUGUUCUCUUCUUUGGCCUGAGGUUUUAGAACACAUUCACUGCCUGAUCACUGUGGCCCAGAAGCCAUGGCCUCUGCUGAGAGAUAGGGACCCCAUGUUCCCUCUACACAUCUUCUUCCCCAAAGCCUCUCUGAGGCUCCUAUGUUCAAAGAAACAGUCCUCUGGCAAUGGCCUGGUCCUUUCUGCCAUACCAAAGAAAGUUGUUUUUUGUUUUGAGCAAGAGAUCACUUCUGAUUUUCCUACCUUUGACAUGGACCAGACUAAUUGACAAAUUCUAGAAGGACAGACACUUCCAAACGUCUCUUGACAUACUGGCUUCACAAAGGUUAGGAAAGCUGUUAUGGGGAGGACGGAGCCUUUCUCCUCUUCCUGAGAACGUUUGAAGAAGAAAGGGGCUACUGAGAAGUCUGGUAGAUUCAGCAGCUAGUAAAUAUCGUGUCUAAAUGGGCAUCUUUUAUUAAACUCUGAGGCAGGGUUGGUGUGUUAGGCCAUUCUUUCUUGCUAUAAAGAAAUAUCUGAGACUGGGUAACUUAUAAAGAACAGAGGUUUAAUUGGCUCAUGGUUCUGCAGGCUGCACAGAAAGCAUAAUGACAUCUUCUUCUGGCUAGGCCUCUGGAAGCUUCCAAUGAUGGUGGAAGGCGAAGAGGGAACUUGCGCAUCACAUGGCAAAAGCAGGAGCAAGAGAGAGGCGAGGAGGUGCCGCACACUUUUAAAAGACCAGAUCUCAUGAAAACUCACUAUUGUGAGGACAGCACCAAGAGGAUCGUGCUAAAUUAUUCAAGAGAAAUCCUCCCCCAUGAUCCAGUCACCUCCCACCAGGCCCCACCUCCAACAUUGGGGAUUACAUUUCAACAUGAGAUUUGGAUGGAAACACAUUCAAGCUUUAUCAGGUCUAGAGGGCAGCGUCAGGGAAGCCAGAGAUUCCAAGCACAAGAAAGAUUUGAUGCAGCCUUGGUGACUUGGAGAUGGAAGGGGCCAUGAGGCAAGGAAUGUAGACAACUGUAAGUGUUGAAAGUGGACCUCAGCUGGCAGCCAGUAAGAAAAGAGGAACCUUCAGGCUACAACCUCAAGGGACAGAAUUCAGCCAACAUCCAGAGUAAGUUUAGAAAUGGACUUUUCCUCGGCGCCUCCAAAUAAGAGUCCAUUCUGACCUCUGCAUUGAUUUUAGGCUUAUAAGAUUAAGCAGGUGAUCCAGCCACACGGUUCUGGUCUUCUGAGCUCCCGGAGAAAUGCAUGUUGUUUGAAGCUGCUAAGUUUGUGGCAAUAUGUUACUCAGCAACAGAAAACUAAUAUACUUGGAAUAGAAUAUUCACUGUGAAUGAAGGAAGUUUUGAGCUCUAUAAAAAUGGAAAACUUUUAUCUUACUCUCACUUCCAACUAAUUUCCCAGAUGCAUUAUCACUUCAGAACAUUCUGCAGGGUAUUGGCGAUGAUUUUUCUUCUUUAUAGAGAUCCAGUAUUAAGUUAGAGAAUAAAUAGUGGUAAUAAUAAUAAUUAAUAAUAAUAUAGAUAACAUUUUGAGCGUGUUUAUCAUGUGCUAGCAUUUUGCUAAACACUUUAUCUGCAUUCUCUCAUAUAAUUCCCACAAUGGUCAUUUUAAGACAGAGAUUAUUACUAUUUUCAUUUUGUGUUUUCGGAAUUAGAGAAUUGCAGACAUGUAUAAAUCUUCAUAUAUAAACCUGUGAUAUUGUGGUAUAAUGGGAAAUAUAUAUUUUGUUUCUGCUCCUGGUUCCUGGCACAAAGCUACUAAAACCCUUGUAGUUUCCUGACUAAUAGGGGUGCUAGGUAUAUCUUUGGUUCUGAUAUUGGGUCUUUGAUUCCAGUUCCUGACAUGGUGCUCAUAAUCCCUUAGAAUUUUCUGGGUGAUACAUGUGUCUUUUUUUCUAAGGAAGUGACUCUUGAUGGGCUACUGGAUUGGAGCUUGUCACCAGAAAGACCAAGCCAUGAUUAGAAGCUUGGAACUUUCAGCCUCAGCCCCUAUCCUCCAGGAAGCAGAGAGGGGCUGGAGAUUGUUAAUAAUCAAUCUUGCCUAUGUGAUGAAGCUUCCAUAAAAAUCCCUGAAUUCUGGGGUUCAGAGAGAUGCAAGGUUGCUGAACAUGUGGAGAUGCUAGGAGGGUGGUGCCCUGGAAAGAGCAUGGAGGUUCAAGAGCCCCUUUCCCCAUACCUUGCCCUGUGUAUCUCACCCCCUCUGGCUGUUAAUCUGUAUCCUUAGUAAUAUUCUUUAUGAUAAAAUGGCAAGUGUAAAUAAAGUGUUUCCCUGAAUCCUAUGAGCCACUCCAGCUAAUUAAGCAAACCUGAGGGGGUUCUAGAAAACACCAAUUUAUAGCCCAUCAGUCAGAAGUUCUAGAGGCCCAUACUUGUGAUUAGCAUCUGGAGCGAGGGGCAGUCUUGCGGUGCUGAGUCCUCACCUUGUGAGAUCUGACUCCAACUCCAGGUAGGUAUUGUCAGAAUCGAGUUAAAUUGUAGGACACCCCAUUAGUGUCCACUGGAGAACUGCUUGCAGUGUAAGGGGAAAAUCCCACAAAUCUGGUGUCAACAGUCUUGUAAUGUUUUGUUGAGAAUAUAAUAGAAGAUGCUUAGUUCAUCUGUUUGUUUGUUUACUAUCAUACAGAACCAAAAUCCAGGUCUGUCUGAUCUUAAACCCAUUUGCCUGGUGGAAAGUUAUGGAUGGUGCUCAGAGUUCACUGUUCUCUUUCUGUUUCAUAUGCUCAGGUGUGUUGCUAAACAUGAGAUGCUGGGAAACUGAAAGGAAUACGUAAGAAAGAUGGCAACAAUUAAAAAAUGCAGAAUGAGGUUGAUCUAAAAUAAAAGUUGACAACCAAUGAAAUGGAGUCCUUAAAAUUCAUUUUUCAUAGAAGAACAGAUAACGGAAUUACAUACUUAAGAUAAAUAAUUGCCUGGGCUUGGUUUACUGAGAUUUUUUAACUGUGUUUUAUAUUUGUGAUUUAAAAAACUAUCAGGGAAGC